GGAGAGGUCGCCUAGUUGGUCUAUGGCGCGUGCCUGGAAAGUACGUAUCCGAAAGGAUCGCGAGUUCGAAUCUCGCCCUCUCCG
rnacentral:tRNA from 1 species